AUUGAACGCUGGCGGCAUGCUUUACACAUGCAAGUCGAACGGCAGCACGGGGGCAACCCUGGUGGCGAGUGGCGAACGGGUGAGUAAUGCAUCGGAACGUGCCCUGUCGUGGGGGAUAACACAUCGAAAGAUGUGCUAAUACCGCAUACGACCUGAGGGUGAAAGCGGGGGACCGUAAGGCCUCGCGCGAUAGGAGCGGCCGAUGUCUGAUUAGCUAGUUGGUGGGGUAAAGGCCUACCAAGGCGACGAUCAGUAGCUGGUCUGAGAGGACGACCAGCCACACUGGGACUGAGACACGGCCCAGACUCCUACGGGAGGCAGCAGUGGGGAAUUUUGGACAAUGGGGGCAACCCUGAUCCAGCAAUGCCGCGUGCAGGAAGAAGGCCUUCGGGUUGUAAACUGCUUUUGUCAGGGAAGAAAUCCUCUGGGUUAAUACCUCGGGGGGAUGACGGUACCUGAAGAAUAAGCACCGGCUAACUACGUGCCAGCAGCCGCGGUAACAC
rnacentral:rRNA from 1 species